rnacentral:lncRNA from 1 species
AUGAGGAUUAGGCCGUCCUUCAACCUGUAUCACAGAAAUUUCGAAAGGGCUGGGCCGUGGGCACCUCUCAUUCCUCAUUCUGCAGAGCGCUCAGACGGGGCGGCACCUAGGCGGUGGGAGCAGCAGCAGACCUUCGCCGGCUGCAGACAGGUGCACACGGACGCAGGGUGGGGAGCACCCCCGCAGGUCCUCAGCACCCUGGGCAGCUACGGCGAGCCAGUGCACCAGCUCAGGGAUCCAGACGGAUACCCAGAAAGACUGCUGACUGCAGGAGAAGACGACAACGCCAGGGUGCUGGGGCCGGACCCCGAGGGUGGCGGCCACUUCAGGGAGGAGCGGACACGGCGGGAACCAGGGAGCACUCCUCUGCUCCAGGAACGCCUGUGGGAAUCCCCCGGCACAGACUCGCUGAAUCUCCCAGUUUUCAACACUGGUUCAGUGUGAACCCUCGGCUGGCCUGAGGAAACAUCUGCUGGGUGAAUACGGCCCCUGCCCCCAGUCUGUACCCAAGGCAGAUGACAGAGGUCAGAAGACAGCUUGCCCGGACUGACUCACCCGCUCUUGGGUGUGCCCAGCUCAGCAUGGAGGCUGGAGAACCGUGGAGUCACCGCGAUCCAACAGAUUUGAGUCUGAUCCCGGCUCACCUCCGACUACCUGCAAGGCCUCAAGUGAACUAUUACCCAACCUCCCGUACCUCCACGUCCGUCUGCAAGAUGGGCUGAUAAUACCCAACACUGAGAAAUUUGUGAGGCUUCAAAAUGUGUGUGUGUGUGUGUGUGUGUGUGUGUGAAGACGACCAUGAACUCUUCCUAAAUGUCAAAUUUCCUUCCCCCAUAGCUCUUAAAAAAAAUAAAUAAACAAAAAACCCCCAAAAAACCAACUUGGCCAACUCUCAGCUUCUUUAGAUGUCACGGUUCUCCUCUGUUACAAACAAGAAUAACCCUCCAGCCCUGCUGCUCUAAGCGCACUGGAUGGGAUGAAGUGGUGCAGAUGGAAGCAGGUGCUUACAAAUUAGAGAAGUAUGAUCGACCUGAACGCCAACACCCUUUCCUCCCAUUUCGAGGCCCAGGAUGCACUAAUUUGCUUUCCUAAAGUGUUUCUACCCCUUCCAUAGCGCGAUGCGGGGAGAAGAUGGAAUCGCGGUUGUGGUGAUUCUCAGCAAUCAACUCCCCAGGGUCCGACAGUCCCCCCACCCUCACAGAGGCCAGGAAACAUUAGGUCACCGCCUGGUCACUUAGAGGCCCAGCAGGUUUGUUUUCUCUCUCCAUGCUCUCCUCUUAGAGAACUGAGGUAGAACAUAAAGUCACUUACCAGCUGCAUCUUUCUCUUACCCACACAAAAAACCUGGAGCCACAGGCCAAACAACUACACUUAAGUAUCAUCGAGAAUUCGCUAUGACAUUUUCCAACUGAAAAAGGAUUUUUGUCAGUUCUCUCAUUUCCCCACACCCUGUGACCAAACUGGGACAUGCUUUGGCAUUUCCUCAACUGACUUAAAGCAUCUUUACAACUCCUUUUAGACUAACCAUCCCAGCCAGGGCUGGGCUGACGGGCCAACCUAGCACUUUGACUUUCAACAAUUACAGUAUCAUUUACUUAGUUUUUCUCUUAAAAGCAAAGAGGCAUCAGGGACGCCUGGGUGGCUCAGUGUUUGAGCAUCU